GGCGUGCUUAACACAUGCAAGUCGAACGGAAAGGCCCUGCUUUUGUGGGGUGCUCGAGUGGCGUACGGGUGAGUAACACGUGAGUAACCUGCCCUUGACUUUGGGAUAACUUCAGGAAACUGGGGCUAAUACCGGAUAGGAGCUCCUGCUGCAUGGUGGGGGUUGGAAAGUUUCGGCGGUUGGGGAUGGACUCGCGGCUUAUCAGCUUGUUGGUGGGGUAGUGGCUUACCAAGGCUUUGACGGGUAGCCGGCCUGAGAGGGUGACCGGCCACAUUGGGACUGAGAUACGGCCCAGACUCCUACGGGAGGCAGCAGUGGGGAAUAUUGCACAAUGGGCGGAAGCCUGAUGCAGCAACGCCGCGUGCGGGAUGACGGCCUUCGGGUUGUAAACCGCUUUCGCCUGUGACGAAGCGUGAGUGACGGUAAUGGGUAAAGAAGCACCGGCUAACUACGUGCCAGCAGCCGCGGUGAUACGUAGGGUGCGAGCGUUGUCCGGAUUUAUUGGGCGUAAAGGGCUCGUAGGUGGUUGAUCGCGUCGGAAGUGUAAUCUUGGGGCUUAACCCUGAGCGUGCUUUCGACACGGGUUGACUUGAGGAAGGUAGGGGAGAAUGGAAUUCCUGGUGGAGCGGUGGAAUGCGCAGAUAUCAGGAGGAACACCAGUGGCGAAGGCGGUUCUCUGGGCCUUUCCUGACGCUGAGGAGCGAAAGCGUGGGGAGCGAACAGGCUUAGAUACCCUGGUAGUCCACGCUGUAAACGGUGGGUACUAGGUGUGGGGUCCAUUCCACGGGUUCCGUGCCGUAGCUAACGCUUUAAGUACCCCGCCUGGGGAGUACGGCCGCAAGGCUAAAACUCAAAGGAAUUGACGGGGCCCCGCACAAGCGGCGGAGCAUGCGGAUUAAUUCGAUGCAACGCGUAGAACCUUACCUGGGUUUGACAUGGAUCGGGAGUGCUCAGAGAUGGGUGUGCCUCUUUUGGGGUCGGUUCACAGGUGGUGCAUGGCUGUCGUCAGCCCGUGUCGUGAGAUGUUGGGUUAAGUCCCGCAACGAGCGCAACCCUUGUUCACUGUUGCCAGCACGUUAUGGUGGGGACUCAGUGGAGACCGCCGGGGUCAACUCGGAGGAAGGUGGGGAUGACGUCAAGUCAUCAUGCCCCUUAUGUCCAGGGCUUCACGCAUGCUACAAUGGCUGGUACAGAGAGUGGCGAGCCUGUGAGGGUGAGCGAAUCUCGGAAAGCCGGUCUCAGUUCGGAUUGGGGUCUGCAACUCGACCUCAUGAAGUCGGAGUCGCUAGUAAUCGCAGAUCAGCAACGCUGCGGUGAAUACGUUCCCGGGGCUUGUACACACCGCCCGUCAAGUCAUGAAAGUUGGUAACACCCGAAGCCGGUGGCCUAACCGUUGUGGGGGAGCCGUCGAAGGUGGGACUGGUGAUUAG
rnacentral:rRNA from 1 species